GGGAAGGUGGCUCAGUGGUAGAGUAUUUGCCUCACAUGCAUGAGGCUGUGGGUUCGAUUCCUCAGCAUCACA
rfam:Dipodomys ordii contig_65615, whole genome shotgun sequence.